rnacentral:SRP_RNA from 1 species
GCUGGGCGCAGUGGUGCGUGCCUGUAGUCCCACCUACUCGGGAGGCUGAGGUGGGAGGAUCGCUUGAGCCCAGGAGUUCUGGGCUGUAAUGCCUUAUGCCAAUUGGGUGUCCGUACUAAGUUUGGCAUCGAUAUGGUGACCUCCAGGGAGCGGGGGACCACCAGGUUGCCUAAGGAGGGGUGAACCGGCCCAGGUCGGAAACGGAGCAGGUCAAAACUCCCAUGCUGAUUAGUAGUGGGAUCGUGCCUGUGAACAGCCACUGCACUCCAGCCUGGGCAACAUAGUGAGACCCCAGCUCU